rnacentral:rRNA from 1 species
CCCUUAGAUGUUCUGGGCCGCACGCGCGCUACACUGACGGAGGCAGCGAGCGUGUCCUUCGCCGGCAGGUGCGGGCAAUCUUGCGAGUCUCCGUCGUGCUGGGGAUAGAUGGUUGCAAUUGUCGAUCUUGAACGAGGAAUUCCUAGUAAGCGCGAGUCAUCAGCUCGCGCUGAUUACGUCCCUGCCCUUUGUACACACCGCCCGUCGCUACUACAGAGUGCCCGUGUCCAAGAAACGGUCGGGCCUGUGCGGCCUCUCCGGGCGACCGGAGGGCCGUUACGGGGAAGACCCUUUAUUUGACGCGGGUCGAUGAAGUAAAAGUCGUAACA